ACCCCUUACCAGGAGGGACAAUGCUCUGAAUGGGCCGUGUCCUGCAGUGGCCUGGCUUGCUGAUCUUCUCCUCCCUCGGUGUUGCUGCUGACUGGAUCUCCUGUACCCUGGUGGAGCUGAAUCCCAGACUCUGCAGUGCCAGAUCCAGGGGCCGACGGCAGAGCAGCAGACACGGCAGUAUUGUUGAUGAGCCCACUUGAAGUAGAGGAAAGGAAAGUUGUCCCUCUAGUCAGCCGAGACUGGUUUAAAGUUGCCGGGCUAGGAGCAGGCUACCCAUUGAUUUUACAUUUCUCCACUGACAGAAGCAGAGCGGCACCACAGAAUUCCUGGUUCUGGAUCUCUGGACUGGACUCGGCUAUUCAAAGCCCCGCUGAAGCAGAUCUUCUGUGCCGUGCCAGGAGAAACCCGGAGCUGACUCCAGGCUGGACUGGACUUGGGUGUUGUUUCACCCUGGGACAGAAUAUUGGACAAUCUAUGGUUUUAUUGUCUCCCUGGUUUUUGAGGAGAAUGUGAUUUUAAUGUCAGUUUAAAUUUAACUUUAAAAAUAAUAGAAUACUAUUUUUAUAUAU